rnacentral:rRNA from 1 species
UACGUAGGUGGCGAGCGUUGUCCGGAUUUACUGGGCGUAAAGGGAGCGUAGGCGGACUUUUAAGUGAGAUGUGAAAUACCCGGGCUCAACUUGGGUGCUGCAUUUCAAACUGGAAGUCUAGAGUGCAGGAGAGGAGAAUGGAAUUCCUAGUGUAGCGGUGAAAUGCGUAGAGAUUAGGAAGAACACCAGUGGCGAAGGCGAUUCUCUGGACUGUAACUGACGCUGAGGCACGAAAGCGUGGGGAGCAAACAGGAUUAGAUACCCUCGUA